UGGGGAAUAUUGCGCAAUGGGGGGAACCCUGACGCAGCCAUGCCGCGUGAAUGAAGAAGGCCUUAGGGUUGUAAAGUUCUUUCGGUAUUGAGGAAGGUUGAUGUGUUAAUAGCACAUCAAAUUGACGUUAAAUACAGAAGAAGCACCGGCUAACUCCGUGCCAGCAGCCGCGGUAAUACGGAGGGUGCGAGCGUUAAUCGGAAUAACUGGGCGUAAAGGGCACGCAGGCGGUUAUUUAAGUGAGGUGUGAAAGCCCCGGGCUUAACCUGGGAAUUGCAUUUCAGACUGGGUAACUAGAGUACUUUAGGGAGGGGUAGAAUUCCACGUGUAGCGGUGAAAUGCGUAGAGAUGUGGAGGAAUACCGAAGGCGAAGGCAGCCCCUUGGGAAUGUACUGACGCUCAUGUGCGAAGGCGUGGGGAGCAAACAGGAUUAGAUACCCUGGUAGUCCACGCUGUAAACGCUGUCGAUUUGGGGGUUGGGGUUUAACUCUGGCGCCCGUAGCUAACGUGAUAAAUCGACCGCCUGGGGAGUACGGCCGCAAGGUUA
rnacentral:rRNA from 1 species